UAGGGAAUAUUGGACAAUGGGCGAAAGCCUGAUCCAGCAAUGCCGCGUGAGUGAGGAAGGCCUUAGGGUUGUAAAGCUCUUUCGGCGGGGACGAUGAUGACGGUACCCGCAGAAGAAGCCCCGGCUAACUUCGUGCCAGCAGCCGCGGUAAUACGAAGGGGGCGAGCGUUGUUCGGAAUUACUGGGCGUAAAGGGCGCGUAGGCGGCCAUCUUUGUCAGGCGUGAAAGCCCUGGGCUCAACCCAGGAAUUGCGCUUGGGACGGGAUGGCUUGAGUUCGGGAGAGGAGAGUGGAAUUCCCAGUGUAGAGGUGAAAUUCGUAGAUAUUGGGAAGAACACCGGUGGCGAAGGCGGCUCUCUGGACCGAUACUGACGCUGAGGCGCGAAAGCGUGGGGAGCAAACAGGAUUAGAUACCCCCGUAGUCC
rnacentral:rRNA from 1 species